AUCCAGAGAGUAUGCCUGUCCGAGCGUCAGUACAACUAUCAAACAUUGGGUUUGUGGUAAACACGAUCUCUAUGUUUGGAUUUUGGAGGUUUAUAUGUCUGGGGUUUAAGUCCUUUCGACUCCUCUGUAUAUCGUUUCAUGGUGAAAUACCUAAUCUCUGGUCAUGAGCGAAACUUUAUUUAUGACUUUUUGAGAUGGUAGAUAUAGCCAUUAUUACUCUUUGUGGUCAGCAAACGUUCCUCGUCUGAGGGUAGUUUGUCACUACAAAAGACCCUUUACUUUGACCUCGGAUCAGGUAGGAUUACCCGCUGGACUUAAGCAUAUCAAUAAGCGGAGGAAAAGAAACCAACAAGGAUUGCCUCAGUAUCGGCGAGUGAAGCGGCAAAAGCUUAAAUUUGAAAUCUGGCACUAGCCCGAGUUGUAAUUUGUAGAGGAUGUCUUCAGCAAAAGGCUUUGAGUCUAAGUUCCCUGGAACGGGAUAUCAUGGAGGGUGAGAAUCCCGUACAUGGUUCAUUGUCUCUUGCAUCACGAAGCUCCUUCAACGAGUCGAGUUGUUUGGGAAUGCAGCUCAAAACAGGAGGUAAAUUCCUUCCAAAGCUAAAUAUUAGCCAGAGACCGAUAGCGAACAAGUAGAGUGAUCGAAAGAUGAAAAGCACUUUGGAAAGAGGGUUAAAAAGUAUGUGAAAUUGUUGAAAGGGAAGCGCUUGCAACCAGACUUUUCACUGUAGGUUAGAUCAUCUAGGCUCUUUGGCCUAGUGUACUCUACCUAUAUUGUGUGCCAGCAUCGGUUUGUUGGUCGAGAGAAAAAGGUAAUGUGUUGUCAAUUCCUCCGGGUAUUUGGCAUGCAUCUACAGGUACAUCUUGAACCCAGACCGAGGACAGCGCAUUUAGCACGGAUGCUGGUGUAAUGGUUGUAAGCGGCCCGUCUUGAAACACGGACCAAGGAGUCCAACAUCCAUGCGAGUGUUUGGAUAUCAAGUCCGUACGCGCAAUGAAAGUGAACGCAAGUGGGAACUCAUUUAUGUGUGCACCAUUGACCGAUCUUGAUCUUUUGAAAUGGAUUUGAGUAAGAGCAUGGCUGUUGGGACCCGAAAGAUGGUGAACUAUGCCCGCGUAGGCUGAAGUCAGGGGAAACCCUGAUGGAAGGUCGCAGCGGUUCUGACGUGCAAAUCGAUCGUCAAACGUGGGUAUAGGGGCGAAAGACCAAUCGAACCAUCUAGUAGCUGG
rnacentral:rRNA from 1 species